CAGUCGCCGCGGUAAUACGUAGGGUGCAAGCGUUAAUCGGAAUUACUGGGCGUAAAGCGUGCGCAGGCGGUUUGUUAAGACAGGUGUGAAAUCCCCGGGCUCAACCUGGGAACUGCAUUUGUGACUGGCAAGCUAGAGUAUGGCAGAGGGGGGUGGAAUUCCGCGUGUAGCAGUGAAAUGCGUAGAUAUGCGGAGGAACACCGAUGGCGAAGGCAGCCCCCUGGGCCAAUACUGACGCUCAUGCACGAAAGCGUGGGGAGCAAACAGGAUUAGAGACCCGUGUAGUCCCUGUCUCUUAUAC
rnacentral:rRNA from 1 species